rnacentral:lncRNA from 1 species
CUGCGUGGCAUUUGAAAGUGCAUAAGUAUUAAUGGGUGUGUGGGGCUGAAAUGGAACCAGGGGGGCUUCCCAAGAGGCCUCCUACAAAACACUGGCAACCAGUUUCUUGCUAAAAGUUAUCUUCUGCUGAGCAGUGUAUCUGAGUGAAACUGAACUCUCAGGACAUGCCACCUGUAAUGCUUACAGAAGCAAGAAAGCAUUAGGAAAACAUGCAGAAAAUUAACACAUCAUCUAAUUUGAUUCAACUGGAUCUCAGCCUGCAGCUGAGCAACAGGAGCAUACUGCAGCCACCUUCUCAUCCAGAUCCACCUCACACUGGCAGAGGCCCUCUGGGCACCUGGUGGAUUGUAUAGUUUCAGUAGGGUUUCUGUCCGUGAUGGUGUUCCUGUCAAUCAAGAGCAGACCUACCAGGCAAAAGGCUAGGAGUUUUUCCAGCACUUUGGGCCAAAGGAGAGCCACUAAUCAGAGCUUGACUCGAACCUAAUGGGAGGCUGACCCCACUUAAGGCAGGCCUCUGUCAAAAGGAUGGAGGUUUUCUUCCAGUCCUGAGUUUUGUCCACAGUUUAUGCUGUAGCCUGGCCAUCUACAAAGCAUCAGAUUGGAGUCAGCUGUGAGUUUCCUCAUCUGACAUGAAGGUGUGAAAGAGGAUUUUGAAAGAAACAUGCAGUGGAAUUUCCGUUAUUUAUGGCUUUUUCCUAUUAAAAGUCAAGGGGUUUUGUGCUCUUUACCCAGAAAAACAGAAGUCCUUGUAUCUGAAAGUUUACAAUCCAUCUACAGGAGACAAAGAACAAGAUGGACUCCAAGGAUAAUCUGUUCAUCUGGAUGUUAGAUUCAAGACUAGAUUCAGAACCAGUGCAAACUAAGGUGUGGAACAUCCAGGCAUGGAUAGUCCUUGACAGGCCAUAGAGCUCAUCUCCAGGAAAGCUUGCCUCUGCCUCCAGGCCACUGCUUGGGCAUCAGGCAAGGGAGCUUCCCAGUCUCAAAAACUCCCCAGAAGUCUCCUGUAAGAGGCUGCAAACCACAGUCCUCAGUGUAAUAUCACGUUGCUUCUCUCAGUUAGCCAAGAUUAUAUUUUUUAAAUUAAUGCAUUUAAUUUCAACAGUUCUUUUAAAUUAUUAUUUGAUGUCUUUCAGAGUGGGAAAUAUGCUG